rnacentral:lncRNA from 1 species
CAGUGGCAAGGCCAGCCGCCCCCUGUCUUCCCUCUGGAGCUGUUUGAGGAAUGCAGUUCUUUUGCAUAAGAAAGGCUUUUCUCUCCAGUCAUUCUGCUUGCUGAUCAAGAACACUUAACAGCUUCAGGCUUUCCUGAUACUUUGACGAAGGUAAUUGGGACUCCCAUCAAGUCUCCACACAGCUAGCAGCCACGUGGGGCACUUCUCCAGCAUAUGUAAGUGGAACUCAGAAGGCAACAUUCCCUGAACAUACUCUUCCACCAGAAUCUCCUCUACAGAUUUUUGCUGCCCCUUUUACCAGUGGCUGAAUCUACUUUCUCUUAUGGAUCGCUUACACCUGAGACGAACUACAGAACAGCACGUACCAGAGGUGGAAGUCCAAGUCAAACGCAGAAGGACUGCCUCACUGAGCAACCAAGAGUGUCAGUUGUACCCGAGGCGUUCUCAGCAGCAGCAAGUACCUGUGGUGGAUUUCCAGGCUGAACUGAGGCAGGCAUUCUUAGCUGAGACACCAAGAGGUGGUUAAAGCCAUAUUGGAGUAGCGAGGAAUCUGAUUCCAAGCAAAAACCAGCAGACAAUGUAAUAAAAAUAUUAUUCAUAAUUUU